UGCAAGAAGGUGGAAAAAGCGCUUUCAUUUCUCCCUCCCGCGUAUUUGCAUUGUCUAACCAGAACGCUGUUUCACGUUAUCUCACUAGUCACCAAGGCGACAUUUUUAUUUGUCGUGUCUAUGAAAAAAUCCCAUGUCGUUAAGCACAAGUUAGUUUGCAGAGAGUCUGUGUCUAAUCGAAUGACUUGUUUCCCUUGACGGACCACAGGGUGACUCAUGUCCUGGCCUGGCUUCUCAGGUGGUCACCUGCCCUAGACACGAGCUCAGUAGUUGAAUUAUUAAAACCAAAUCUGUGACUUCAUAAAGUAAGGUGCGAAACAGCUACCAGCUAAGCAAGGCCUCAACUGGGUUUUUGUUUCUGUGUGUGAAAAUAUCAUUAUAAUGACUAUUUAUUUCCUAAGUUGAACAUGAAUAGAAAGGGAAACUGUUCUUAUCGAGCCUUUUUGUAAGGUUCUUUGGCUAAAUCAUACAUUUCUAUCAGAAUGCACUGUAGAGUCCAGCUCUGCCCUUGAGUAAUGGGUCUAUCUCUACAACCAGAACAAUGGCAGGAAUAUCCCAUUGUCAUAAGUAGCAUUCCUGGUUCUCUGUGCUAAUAUUGCACAUUUUAAAAACAAUGAAUGAAUGAAUGGACGGAUGGACGAAUGAAUGAAACAUGUACUACUGAUUAUAUUAUUCCUGAGCUCUCAAAAUAUUUGUUGCUCAAAUUUUGAGGGCUCAUUGUAAUUACUUUGAAAUGUAUUUUGAUUAGAAAAGCAAAUGGAAAUGAUGCUGCUGAAAAUUUUCUAAUAAAUGUGUAUUUUAUCAGA